GCCACAGUGUAUGACACUCAAGCUGGUGAGCUGUCUGGAGAGAGAGGAACAUCCACAGCAUUCAGUGGUGAAGGUGCGCCUCGCCUCUCUUCUGUUCAUACUUUAGCAAACAGGCCCUGUUUCCACCUGCUAUUAAAAAGGGAUAGUUCACCCAAAAAUGAAAAUUCUGUCAUUAUUUACUCACCCUCAAGUUGUCAAUGCGGACCAGAAACUGUACAACUGAACUACUUGAGAGUGAGUAAAUGAUAGUAGAAUUGACCAUUUUUGGGUGAACUAUCCCUUAAAGAUACAUUUUUGUUAAUCAGCUUUAACGUGCAUUUCAAUUGAUCACCUAUGUAAAGACAUCCUUUUUUUACGUAACAUCCUACAUCAUGGGAGUGCCAAGUGUGUAUGAACACUAUUAAAUUACCAAACUAUUUGUAUAUGUGUACAUUUUAUGUAUCCUCUCUCUCAGUGUCAAUGGACAGUGGCUCUCUGUUGAUGUCUGAGAUUGUGGAUAUUCCAGAUGACAGCUCCCCAUCCGAGGACUCCUGCCUCAUGGAAGUAGGUGUUGGUGUGAGGCCACGGCCACGGGGGGGCAGCGAGGGAGGGGAGGGGGGAGAGUACGCCAGCCUCCGUUCUUCCACACAACAUCCUGAGGGAAUGGUGGCUCCUUCCAGAAGACGUUGUUUCAGAGGCGAGAGAUCGAACUCCUGCUCCUCCCCGAGCACGUACAACACCUCAACCUACAGGUCUCCAGUGUUGAGGCGUCAAGCUCUGUUGGCAAGUAGCUGCUCUCAGUUGGAGUUUCUAGCAGGAUCUCAACAUUCCUCUAUCCCAGAAAUCCGAGUUCGGCCCUGCACACCUUCCCGACGGGACUCCUCAUCUGCAUUUAGUAACCCACCUACCACAGCCCCAACAGGUCCUGCUCAAGACCGGCCGGACCACGCAGUACCGGUGCUCCUUCCACGGCCAGGUUUCCGUGAGCAAAUUGGACGUGAUAGAAAAGACAGCGACAGCUUCUUACCUCUCAUGAGGUCACACAGUGAACCAGGACUCAGCUCUUCAACUGACACAGGUGAUUUCAGUCUCUCAGGAGGCAAUAAAGGAGUCAGCGAGGGGGGAUCGCAGACCUCAUCAGAAACAGGGGUAUCGUCUGGAGCUGGUUUGCUGCCUCGCUCCUCUCUGGCACUUCCUGCUUCCCUGCCCAGAAAAGGCAGCAUUAAGGCUAUAAGUAGCCGUUUGCCCUCAAAACAAGUCCCAGCCACCUCGCUGCGUUUACCCAAAGACUGUGCACGCUCACUUGGAGACCUCAAGGUCACCAAAGUUUUAGUGCAACGUUUCCUGCAGAGAUCCAAACGUAACUUAGCCCCUGCAACUGAGCAUACCGGAAACUGUACUCAGGGGCCUAAAAGGAGGACAGCAGUUGAUGGAGGUCUGUCAUUAGAACAGGUACUUCGUAACUCUCUGGGGGCCAACAGGGGGCAGCAGCAGCACGUCCACCACCACUGCCGUGGACAUCAUCACUCCCUUAGUGACAGUCGCCAUAAUGCCCGCCGCCAUGAUGACGACCCUGUAAGGGCCGGGGGAAUCCACUUGCGUAGCUGCGGAGACCUCAACUCGACAUCCGUCGCAUCACUGCGCAGAAUCCACCCAGCGCCACAUGGAUCAUCAGGAGCUCUUUACUCAGAAUCUGCCCUCUGAAAUGAGGCGAGGGAUUCUGGAAUUAUUCACAUCUGGACUCAGGAGAGGGGGCAGAGAAAAUCUGAGAAAAGAAUAACAGGUUUGAGAUGAGGAAUUUAUCUUGCUGAAGGGAUGAUGUGAAGCAGAUAAAUAUGCUGUUUGAAAAACAGUAUAUAUACCAUUGGGAAAGCUUUUAGCUUUUUUUAAGCCGAACACUACACCCGAUAUAACGGAGUUUAACCCAUCAGACCCUCUGCUCUCUGUGCCUGACAAACUCUGGUCCUUUUGUUUUGUAUUUCCAUGUAUUUUUUGCUCCAUCUAAUGCUUAUUUCUCACUCACUGUUUACAUGGAUAUGGAAAGAAUGCAGCACCUCUGACGCUGUUCCUUGUCUUCACAGCUCAUUACAAUGCACUCAUGCAACUACAAACAUACAACCAUAUGUUUGGCUGUAACUAUGUUGUGAACUUGGGGGAAUUGAAAGGAAUAAUUAAAGGAAUUAAUUAAAGGAUUUAAAUGGAUUUACGGGAAUACACAAAAAGAAAAAUAACAGUAAAAGAAGCAGGAUGAAAGUAUUUGUAAAGUAUCAAUUCAAUUUGACUUAUUUCCAAAUAGUAUGUUAAUUAAAAAUAGGUACACAUUCAUUUUUUUGUGUAUGCCUAAUACGUCUUCACAUUCAAUUAUGCAUUACUUGAAUCACACAAAUGAUUCAGCCUACAUUUUCAAUUCCAAACAGUGAAAUUUAACAAAUAAAUUUGAGUAGUUUGCAUAUCA
ensembl:lncRNA